rnacentral:misc_RNA from 1 species
GUUUCCGUAGGUGAACCUGCGGAAGGAUCAUUCAUAAUAAAGUGUUUUAUGGCACUUUUUAAAGAUCCAUAUCCACCUUGUGUGCAAUGUUAGAUCUCGUCAAUCUUGGCGAGAUUUUUAUACAUCAACUCAUUCUUUAACUAAUUUGUCUGAAAAAUAUUAUGAAUACUUAAUUCAAAAUACAACUCUCAACAACGGAUCUCUUGGCUCUC